UAACGUACUCUGUGUAGUGUUGAGAUUACACUUUCAUGUGACAUAAAGUAAAAAUGUCAGUGCCAGAAAGUGUCAAAACCAGCAUUACACAUGGUGCUAAACUUGGCAUUCGACACAGUGUUAAAUCAGGUGUUAAACACAGUGUUAAAUCAGGUGUUAAUCUAGUGUCAGUGCUGUCAAAUCUGGCCUUAAACCUGGUUUUAAAUAUGGUGAUAAAUCUGGUGUUAAACAGAGUGGUAAAUCUGGUGUUAAGUGACGUUUAACACCGUAUUUAAGGUGACAUUAAAUAUGGUGUUAAACAGAGUGUUGAAUCUGAUGUUAAGUGAUGUUUAACAAAGUAUUUAACAUGACAUUAUGUCUGGUGUUAAACACAGUGUUAAAUCUGGUGUUAAGUGAUGUUUAACAUGGCAUUUAACAUGACAUUAAAUCUGGUGUUAAACAGAGUGUUAAAUCUGGUGUUAAGUGAUGUUUAACAUGGCAUUUAACAUGACAUUAAAUCUGGUGUUAAACAGAGUGUUAAAUCUGGUGUUAAUCUAGUGUCAAUGCUGUCAAAUCUGGCCUUAAACACAGUUUUAAAUAUGGUGAUAAAUCUGGUGUUAAACAGAGUGUUAAAUCUGGUGUUAAGUAAUGUUUAACACUGUAUUUUACAUGUCAUUAAAUCAGGUAUUAAUGUAGUGUCAGUGCUGUUAAAUCUGGCCUUAAACCUGGUUUUAAAUAUGGUGAUAAAUCUGGUGUUAAGUGAUGUUUAACAUGGUAUUUAACAUGGCAUUAAAUCAGGUGUUAGUCUAGUGUCAAUGCUGUUAAAUCUGGCCUUAAACACGGUUUUAAUUGUGAUGAAUCUGGCAUUAAACACAGUGUUAACACAUGACAGUAACACUACAUUUAACCCAGUGGUAAACAUGAUAAAUGUAUUGUUUAAUCACAUUGUUAAAUCCAGUGUUAAACACAGAGUGUAUAACACAGUGUUUAACAUGAUGUUACACGAUACAUGUAAAAGUUUUUAACACUAUGUCUAACGCCAUGUUUAACACCUGACAGAACACCAGGUUUAACAUGAUGUUAAACCUGGUAAUCAACAUGGUCUGUUAAUGUUUAACACUGUUGAAAGAGUAGCUCACACAGAGCCAAUGAAAAUUGUAUGAAUUCAGCAACAGUGUAAAUUUCAACACUAUAGGAGUUGAAUGUUUUACAGCUAAACUGAAAUCCUCGUUGCAGGUCUUGCUUCUCUUCAUCUUCGGACAUGAUGUGUCUUUGACCGUACGUGUCUCAGUAGAUGAAUCUUAUUUGUCGUUAGCUCGAUCUUACUGUUCAAGCUUCAGAUUUGUUUUCUAUUCGAUUCAUGCUUAAAUCCCAAUCAGUCAGCAGACUUUUUUGUGUUGUGGCCGGAUUUUGAGAUUGUUAAGGUAACUUGUAAAACACUCGUUGCUAACAACAGUUGAUGAACGUACAAAACAAUCAUUAUAUUGUUUUACAAAUGGUUAUUUAUCUUAACUGAAGUUUUAUCGGAAUUAAUGGUUUGUCUAGACUUCACCGUUACUGAUUACACGUCAUGAUAAAGCACUUUUUAUACCAUAAAUCAGUCACACGAGACAUUUUUACAGAUUUUUUGGCUCCAUGAAGCUUCAGAAUGAUGUAAAAACUGUUGGCUGUUGUACGUAAAAAUAACACAAAAUGUGUGAUGUUACAGAAAUAACUUACACAGGAAAUAUUUUAUUAAUGUGCAUUUAUACAUUGGCCUGGUUUUGGAAAUGACUUCUUGAAACUGUCUGAUAUUAAUGUUUGUGUGUUUAUCUUUGGGGGAAAUCUUGUACUGUCAUGUUCAUAAUCACAAGAAUUUUUUUUGAAUAUGUUUAAAGAAUUGACUAAAGUUCAGAGAUGGUGUUUUUGGCCAACACCAGGAGUUUGUUUCCAUUAAAAUAAGCCUGGGGUGAACCAGAUUCCCACGUGAAGUUUGUGUGUGUGUCUGAUUUUUGUAGUAAUUUUUAUUGUAACUUUACUUUUGUUGUUGUUUGAACUGUAUUACUGUAGUGUAUAUUUGAUGGUGUUGGUUUUGAGGUGUCUAUUUGGACAGAGAUAAAGUUUGCAAACAUGAAGUAAGCAGAACCGGUUCUAGUCCAGGAACUGUUUGUCUCAUUGUCUGUCGAUCUCAGUUUGUUUCCUGUAAGGAGCAGAUUUAAGUUUAGAACUGUUUCUGUUUUCUUUCAGUUUUGCUCUGUGUACGUCUUUAUACGGUUUCCACUCAUUGUCACUAAAUGAUCUUAGACUUCUGGAGGUUGGUCAGUGGUUCUCGACCACAAACAAUUCACAAGAUAAAUUUGCAGCACCACGAGAAUUGGCUCAAUAUGAAACUAGAUCUGAAGUGUUUGCAGCAUAUGAAUAGAACUUUGUGAUGUCAUAAGGUUGGUGCUUAAGAGAGAAAAGAUUUUCAGUCAGUUUGAGAUUUACCUCAAAAUAUAAUCAACUGUUUCCUAACAUCUUCACAAUAAUAAAUAAAAAAUAAGAGCUGAAAGAAAAAGAAAAUUACUUAAGUACAGUACUUGCUCUGUCAGUCACAUAAACUCUGUCCUCCUCUAGUGGUUGACACGGGUAUUAAGAAAAUGUAUUUUUCGUGCAGAAAUAAUCACAACUUUUCUCUUACUAGGCAAUAAUAACACUGGGCAUGAAGAUACUAACAGCUACAGCAGAUAGAUCAGUGGACAAAUACAGCAUCAAUAAUCUGACCUUUAACUGUCUUCUGCAGUGGCUCGUUGGUUUUUGUUACUUAUAAGACAUACAUUUGUGUGAGCGUGUGUGUGUGUGUGUGUGUGUGUGUGUGUGUGUGUGUGUGUGUGUGUGUGUGUGUGUGUGUGUGUGUGUGUGUGUGUGUGUGUGUGUGUGUGAGUGAGUGAGUUAGAGAGAGAGAGAGAGAGAGAGGGGGGGGGGGGGGGAGUUGAAAUAUCACUACACUGGUGUCAAAGUGCUGUCACAGGGGCCAGAUGUGGCCCACAGCAAAAUUUUUGUAUGUGAAUUUGAUUUGUAAAAUAUAUAUUAUUUUGUGUUGAUUGUGAAUUUACCCCACAAUUUUAUUUGAGCAUGAUCUUUGUAUUUUUUUUCCUCAAGGCUGAAAGAGGAUAAAGUUUUACAUUUUAUUUUACAGUAAGAAUUUUCAGAAUAAAGAUAUUUGUUCAGAUUAGCAGCACUCUGACACCAAAAUGUUACUUCUAA